ACGGUCAACCUCGUCGUGGGAAU
rnacentral:siRNA from 1 species